rnacentral:rRNA from 1 species
UACGUAGGGGGCAAGCGUUGUCCGGAAUUAUUGGGCGUAAAGAGCGUGUAGGCGGUCCGAUAAGUCAGCUGUGAAAGUCAAGGGCUCAACCCUUGAAUGCCGGUUGAUACUGUCGGGCUAGAGUCCGGAAGAGGCGAGUGGAAUUCCCAGUGUAGAGGUGAAAUUCGUAGAUAUUGGGAAGAACACCGGUGGCGAAGGCGGCAUCCUGGACCAUGACUGACGCUGAGGAGCGAAAGCCAGGGGAGCAAACGGG